rnacentral:rRNA from 1 species
AUGAAUAUCCUAAGUUGGAACUGCCGAGGGGCGGGGAACUCUCGGACAGUUCGAGAUCUUGUGAGUCUAGUGCAGGCUCACUCCCCUAAUAUCGUUUUUCUUUGUGAAACUAGGCAGUCUAAGAAUAAAAUGAAGAGAUAUUAUGGCCGAUUAGGUUUGAGAGGUUUUGAUGCCUCAUAUAGUGUUGGUCUUGCUUUGUAUUGGCACGAGUUUUUGUGUCUGGAUGUAAAAACAAUAAAUGAAAGAUAUAUUGAUGCGUAUGUCACGAGUGUAGCAGGUGAGCUGCCAUGGAGGCUCACUUGCGUUUACGGCGAACCACGAAUGGAGGACCGACACUGUAUGUGGUCCUCCCUCCGAGCUCUUCAUCAACAAGUCAACAUGCCAUGGGUCGUCGUUGGUGAUUUCAAUGAAGCUAUGUGGAGCUUUGAACACUUCUAUGCAACGCCACGGUUGGUAGGUCAGAUGAUUGAUUUUCAUGAUGUCCUUGAAGUUUGUGGUUUGGGCGAUCUCGGUUUUGCAGGCCUAUCGUACACGUAUGAUAAUCGCCGAGCGGGCCGGGCAAAUGUUAAGGUUCGCCUCGACGGGCCAUCGCGAACAAUUCCUGGAGGGAUAUCUUUGGCCAAGCAAAGGUCGACCAUCUGGUGGCCCCCAGUUCGGAUCACCUCCCCAUAUUGUUGUGAUGUAUAUGGGAGGAGCCAGUGCAGUCAACUGGCAGGCGAUGUCGUUAGUACGAGGUUAUGUGGGAAAGAGACCCUUCUCUUUCGGAGGUAA